rnacentral:rRNA from 1 species
UCAGAUUGAACGCUGGCGGCAUGCCUUACACAUGCAAAGUCGAACGGCAGCACGGGAGCAAUCCUGGUGGCGAGUGGCGAACGGUGAGUAAUAUAUCGGAACGUGCCCAGUCGUGGGGGGAUAACGGUAGCGAAAGCUACGCUAAUACCGCAUACGAUCUAAGGAUGAAAGCGGGGGGAUUCGCAAGAACCUCGCGCGAUUGGAGCGGCUGAUAUCAGAUUAGGUUGUUGGUGAGGUAAAAAGCUCACCAAGCCGACGAUCUGUAGCUGGUUUGAGAGAACGACCAGCCACACUGGGACUGAGACACGGCCCAGACUCCUACGGGAGGCAGCAGUGGGGAAUUUGGACAAUGGGCGAAAGCCUGAUCCAGCAAUGCCGCGUGCAGGAAGAAGGCCUUCGGGUUGUAAACUGCUUUUGUACGGAACGAAAAGGCUCUUUCUAAUAAAGAGGGCCCAUGACGGUACCGUAAGAAUAAGCACCGGCUAACUACGUG